AACGAACGCUGGCGGCGCGCCUAAUACAUGCAAGUCGAACGAGAAGCUGUAGCAAUGCAGUUGUACAGUGGCGAACGGGUGAGGAAUACAUGGGUGACCUACCCUCGAGUGGGAAUAACCAGCCGAAAGGUUGGCUAAUACCGCGUACGCUUCCCAGUCUACGGGUUGGAAGGAAAGCGAUGCCGUGGGUAUCGCGCUCAAGGUUGGGCUCAUGUCCUAUCAGCNGUUGGUGGGGUAACGGCUCACCAAGGCAACGACGGGUAGNUCCCGGUNUGAGAGGACGAUCAGCCACACUGGCACUGCGACACGGGCCAGACUCCUACGGGAGGCAGCAGUAAGGAAUAUUGC
rnacentral:rRNA from 1 species